GCCGGGCAUGGUGGCCCACGCCUGUAAUCCCAGCACUUUGGGAGGCUGAGGCGGGUGGAUCACCUGAGGUUAGGAGUUGGAGACCUACCUGGCCAACAUGGUGAAAGCCCGUCUCUA
ensembl:misc_RNA Metazoa_SRP Metazoan signal recognition particle RNA